UACAGAGGGUGCAAGCGUUGUUCGGAAUUAUUGGGCGUAAAGCGUGUGUAGGUGGCCAUGCAAGUCGGAUGUGAAAGCCCCGGGCUCAACCCGGGAAGUGCACUCGAUACUGCAAGGCUUGAGUCUCGGAGAGGUUGGUGGAAUUCUCGGUGUAGAGGUGAAAUUCGUAGAUAUCGAGAGGAACACCGGUGGCGAAGGCGGCCAACUGGACGAAGACUGACACUGAGACACGAAAGCGUGGGGAGCAAACAGG
rnacentral:rRNA from 1 species